rnacentral:lncRNA from 10 species
GUUUUCCUCCUUUCCCAUCCCCAGCAGUUGUCUCUGUAGGAGUGGAGGGACUUUCUUUUUUUGUGGUUGUAUUUGGAGAGAAAGAGCUUUGGAGAUUUUUUUUUUUUCUGGAGCACAUAGAUGGGACAAGAGGGGAGACCCCUGCCUGGCCUGAAGAAUUGGAUUUUGGCCCUGAUGAAAGAGGAAAUGGGGCAGAGACUGCCUGAAUGGAGUUAAGAAAAUGCCUGGGGAGACUCUGAGCUCAAGGAGGCCCAUGUUGGGAUCCAGGGCCAACACAGCAUCAGAUCAAAACCUAAAAAGGUGGGAAUGAAAGAAGCUCCUAACCCUCCUGGCUUUUUUCCCAAAGCCAGGAGGCAGCUCCUGAAUGGUGGAUUUUGGACUACUGGUGAGGCUGUCAGCAAAGGGCCUGGCCCAGAGAGAUGCUCAAGAGUAGGAUGAAAAGACCGUGGGCUUCUUCCUCUGCAAAAGGAAAGGUUUGGGACUGAUGGAUGCUGAAAAGUCUAGAUCUUCAUAAUCCUCAACAGCUUCACUGCCACUGCACACACAAAAUGAGUGUGCCCUAUAUUUCCAGCCCUCUGAUGAAUACGAAAAGAGCCUGAAGAACUCAUCUUCCUGGUCGCAAAGUACUUUAAAAUAUAUAAUCCCUCAAUCUUAAACAUACACAUUUUAUUGCUUUUUAUUAUACAAUAAUACAUAUUUACUAUUGAAAAUACAGAUAAGAAAAAAGAAAAUGGUUCAUAAUAAUACUACCCAGGUUUAAAAAAUACUAUUCAGCCUUAUGUUGAAGAAUCUGACUCUUUUCCUAUGCAAGCAUGUAUUUCAAGCAAAACUGGACACUUCAUGUGUACCUUGUUUUGUGAUCUUUUUUUCCCAAAUUAAUAUAUAAUCAAUAUCUUUUUGUAUCAAUCUUCAAUCCUUUCUUCUGUCACUUAUUUUUAAUGGUUAACAGUCAUCUACUAUAUAGAUAUUCUGUAAUUUAUUAAAGUGAUCCCUCAU